rnacentral:rRNA from 1 species
CCUACGGGUGGCAGCAGUGGGGAAUAUUGGACAAUGGGCGAAAGCCUGAUCCAGCCAUGCCGCGUGUGUGAAGAAGGCCUUCGGGUUGUAAAGCACUUUCAGUGGGGAAGAAAGCCUUGGGGCUAAUACCCUCGAGGAAGGACAUCACCCACAGAAGAAGCACCGGCUAACUCCGUGCCAGCAGCCGCGGUAAUACGGAGGGUGCGAGCGUUAAUCGGAAUUACUGGACGUAAAGCGCGCGUAGGCGGUCUGAUAAGCCGGUUGUGAAAGCCCCGGGCUCAACCUGGGAACGGCAUCCGGAACUGUCAGGCUAGAGUGCAGGAGAGGAAGGUAGAAUUCCCGGUGUAGCGGUGAAAUGCGUAGAGAUCGGGAGGAAUACCAGUGGCGAAGGCGGCCUUCUGGACUGACACUGACGCUGAGGUGCGAAAGCGUGGGUAGCAAACAGGAUUAGAUACCCCAGUAGUC